GACGAACGCUGGCGGCGUGCUUAACACAUGCAAGUCGAACGGAAAGGCCUCUUUCGGGGGGUACUCGAGUGGCGAACGGGUGAGUAACACGUGAGUAACCUGCCCUUGACUUUGGGAUAACUUCAGGAAACUGGGGCUAAUACCGGAUAGGAGCUCCUGCUGCAUGGUGGGGGUUGGAAAGUUUCGGCGGUUGGGGAUGGACUCGCGGCUUAUCAGCUUGUUGGUGGGGUAGUGGCUUACCAAGGCUUUGACGGGUAGCCGGCCUGAGAGGGUGACCGGCGACAUUGGGACUGAGAUACGGCCCAGGCUCCUACGGGAGGCAGCAGUGGGGAAUAUUGCACAAUGGGUGGAAGCCUGAUGCAGCAGCGCCGUGUGCGGGAUGACGGCCUUCGGGUUGUAAACCGCUUUCGCUCAUGACGAAGCUUUGUGUGACGGUAGUGGGUAAAGAAGCACCGGCUAACUACGUG
rnacentral:rRNA from 1 species